CUCAGGACGAACGCUGGCGGCGUGCCUAAUACAUGCAAGUCGAACGCUUCUUUUUCCACCGGAGCUUGCUCCACCGGAAAAAGAAGAGUGGCGAACGGGUGAGUAACACGUGGGUAACCUGCCCAUCAGAAGGGGAUAACACUUGGAAACAGGUGCUAAUACCGUAUAACAAUCAAAACCGCAUGGUUUUGAUUUGAAAGGCGCUUUCGGGUGUCGCUGAUGGAUGGACCCGCGGUGCAUUAGCUAGUUGGUGAGGUAACGGCUCACCAAGGCCACGAUGCAUAGCCGACCUGAGAGGGUGAUCGGCCACAUUGGGACUGAGACACGGCCCAAACUCCUACGGGAGGCAGCAGUAGGGAAUCUUCGGCAAUGGACGAAAGUCUGACCGAGCAACGCCGCGUGAGUGAAGAAGGUUUUCGGAUCGUAAAACUCUGUUGUUAGAGAAGAACAAGGAUGAGAGUAACUGUUCAUCCCUUGACGGUAUCUAACCAGAAAGCCACGGCUAACUACGUGCCAGCAGCCGCGGUAAUACGUAGGUGGCAAGCGUUGUCCGGAUUUAUUGGGCGUAAAGCGAGCGCAGGCGGUUUCUUAAGUCUGAUGUGAAAGCCCCCGGCUCAACCGGGGAGGGUCAUUGGAAACUGGGAGACUUGAGUGCAGAAGAGGAGAGUGGAAUUCCAUGUGUAGCGGUGAAAUGCGUAGAUAUAUGGAGGAACACCAGUGGCGAAGGCGGCUCUCUGGUCUGUAACUGACGCUGAGGCUCGAAAGCGUGGGGAGCAAACAGGAUUAG
rnacentral:rRNA from 1 species